GAUUCCCCUAGUAACUGCGAGUGAAGCGGGAAAAGCUCAAAUUUAAAAUCUGGCGGUCUUUGGCCGUCCGAGUUGUAGUCUGGAGAAGUGCUUUCCGCGCUGGACCGUGUACAAGUCUCCUGGAACGGAGCGUCAUAGAGGGUGAGAAUCCCGUCUUUGACACGGACUACCAGUGCUCUGUGAUGCGCUCUCAAAGAGUCGAGUUGUUUGGGAAUGCAGCUCAAAAUGGGUGGUGAAUUCCAUCUAAAGCUAAAUAUUGGCGAGAGACCGAUAGCGAACAAGUACCGUGAGGGAAAGAUGAAAAGCACUUUGGAAAGAGAGUUAAACAGUACGUGAAAUUGCUGAAAGGGAAACGCUUGAAGUCAGUCGCGUCGGCCGGAACUCAGCCUUGCUUUUGCUUGGUGUACUUUCCGGUCGACGGGCCAGCAUCGAUUUCGAUCGUCGGAAAAAGGCAGAGGGAAUGUGGCACCUUCGGGUGUGUUAUAGCCCUCUGUUGCAUACGACGGUUGGGAUCGAGGUUCGCAGCACGCCUUUAUGGUCGGGGUUCGCCCACGUUCGUGCUUAGGAUGCUGGCGUAAUGGCUUUAAACGACCCGUCUUGAAACACGGACCAAGGAGUCUAACAUGCCUGCGAGUGUUUGGGUGGAAAACCCGAGCGCGUAAUGAAAGUGAAGGUCGGGACCUCUGUCAUGGAGGGCACCGACGCCCGGACCUGAAGUUCUCUGACGGCUCCGCGGUAGAGCAUGUAUGUUGGGACCCGAAAGAUGGUGAACUAUGCCUGA
rnacentral:rRNA from 1 species